GGGCCUCUAGCUCAAUGGCAGAGCAGCGAGACUUUUAAUCCGCGGGUUCAGGGUUCGAGCCCCUGGGGGCCCACCA
rnacentral:tRNA from 1 species